rnacentral:lncRNA from 1 species
ACGUUUUGAGCCAUGUCGUUCUGAGUUUUUUUAUUCAUUUAAACACGUGCAUUUGAUUCAUUUAAUGUUCACAUUAUUUCUGAUGCUUCAUUCACAUGCACAUUGUAAUUAGAUAUUAAUGUGCAUUUUGGAUUGUCACGUUGACUUACUGCCUUGUCAUUUUUGACAUUAUCCACGCCUAUUUCCAUGGUAAAUCUGUGUGGGCAUUGUUGUGUUGUGCCCAGUUGCAUUUUGCUGAAACAUGACAUUAUUUGUGUUAGUGUACCCC